UCAGUUGGUCGGAUAGCCGCUCCCAGCAAUGGGGGAGGAAAGUCCGGACAUCACGGAAACAAAGUGCCGGGUAACACCCGGGCGGCGUAAGCCGACGGAAAGUGCAACAGAAAAUAAACCGCCGAUGGUUCCCAUACACGUGAUGGGAAAACAGGUAAGGGCGAAACGGUGCGGUAAGAGCGCACCGCUUGGCUGGUAACAGACAAGGCAUGGCAAACCCCACUUGAUGCAAGACCAAAUAGGCCUUCGUUUGAUGUGUUUCCCAUUAGUUGCUUGCAGCUGCGAAGGCGGGUUGGUUGCUCGAGCUAUUUAGCGAUAAAUAGCCCAGAUGAAUGGUUAUCCCUCUUCGGAGGACAGAAUCCGGCUUAUAGACCGACUGACAUU
rnacentral:RNase_P_RNA from 1 species